ACUUUACAAUGCGGGAAACCGUGAUAAGGGAACCCCGAGUGCCCGUAAAUUCGGGCUGUUCACCAGUGCAAACAGCUGGUGGAGAAAGGGCCGGGCAAGACCGGUGCCAGCCGCCGCGGUAAUACCGGCGGCUCGAGUGGUGGCCACUAUUACUGGGCUUAAAGCGUCCGUAGCUGGGUUGUUAAGUCUCUGGGGAAAUCUUCCGGCUUAACCGGAAGGCGUCUCAGGGAUACUGGCAAUCUAGGGAUCGGAAGAGGUGAGGGGUACUCCAGGGGUAGGAGUGAAAUCCUGUAAUCCUUGGGGGACCACCUGUGGCGAAGGCGCCUCACCAGGACGACUCCGACAGUGAGGGACGAAAGC
rnacentral:rRNA from 1 species